AUUGAACGCUGGCGGCAGGCCUAACACAUGCAAGUCGAGCGGAUGAAGGGAGCUUGCUCCUGGAUUCAGCGGCGGACGGGUGAGUAAUGCCUAGGAAUCUGCCUGUUAGUUGGGGAAAACGUCCGGAAAAGGGGGCUAAUUCCCCAAACGGCCUGAGGGCGAAAUGGGGGGGGUUUGGAAGUUUAGGCGGUCGGGGGAGGCUUGGCGGGUUUAGCUAGUUGGGGGGGUGAAGGCCUACAAAGGCGCCGUUCCGUAACUGGUCUGAGAGGAUGAGCAGUCACACUGGAACUGAGACACGGUCCAGACUCCUACGGGAGGCAGCAGUGGGGAAUAUUGGACAAUGGGGGAAAGCCUGAUCCAGCCAUGCCGCGUGUGUGCAGAAGGUCUUCGGAUUGUAAAGCACUUUUAGUUGGGAGGAAGGGCAGUAAGUUAAUACCUUGCUGUUUUGACGUUACCAACAGAAUAAGCACCGGCUAACUUCGUG
rnacentral:rRNA from 1 species